GCUGGGCGUGGUGGCGCACAUCUGUAAUCCCAGCUACGCCAGAGGCUGAGGCAGGAGAAUCGCUUGACAUCAGGAGGCUGAGGUUGCAGUGAGCUGAGUUGGAGCCACUGCACCCCAGCCUGGGUGACAGAGCGAGACCCUGUCUCCC
rnacentral:SRP_RNA from 1 species